GGGAUCCUGACUUCACUUAAUAUUUUUUAUUAUGUAGUAAAUACAUUUAUUCUUCAACUUCUAUUUCUCAUAAAUAUAUAAAUGCCUCUCAUGAUUACAUUUAUAUGUUAUUACUAUAGUUGAACAGUUAAGUGCACUCCUCUCGGUUAUACAAAUUAAUUGUCAUAAAAGUAAUAUUAAAGAACCAGAAAUAUAUACUUGAUCUAAAACAUGCUCUUUUUUGGUAAGUUCCUUUCAUUAUCCUACUUCUAUAACUGAUUGCUACAAUAUUAGCCUCUUUCGAUUACAAAUAAGCGUUAACAUAUAAGAGAUAGAUGUCACUAAGUAUAGGUUAACAUCUAUCAAUACCAAAAUUAACUAUUACCUCCUCUGCUUCUUUCGAUUACAGAGUUAAUAAAAAAUUAAUAUGUAGUAACAAAUAGAUAGAUGUUAACAAAUUAAAUAACACCAACUAUAAAGUGGAUAAAAUUUAAAUAAAAAGCUUCAGCUCAAGUAUGUGAAAUUGAAGAAUAAUAUCUACUAUUAUAUAAAAAUAUUAAGAUUCGUCAUUUUCCCAACAAAAGAAAAAUUAUUCCAUAUUGGAGCCAAUACCAACAACGAAAAUAAUCUUGCUCAUUAAAUAAAAAAAUAGAAAGAAUUAUUCAAGAGGAUAAUUCUCCUUAUUUAAUUAGAAAUGGGUACAAAAGUAAUUUUCAAUACUACAAUUUAUUUGGAAUUAGAAAUAAAGUUAGAGUAAUAGCUAAGAGAAGAAAGGAAAAGAACCGCAGAAGAAAGGAAGAGUUACACUGUAAUCCAAUACUUUUAUCUCUCA
rnacentral:lncRNA from 1 species